CUUAUUACUCCAGGGGGAAAGUUGGGAUGUGUUCUGAAUUUGGUUUUAUAGUCUGGGAUAAAGAUUGUUGGUUUUCAACCUUAUGACUAUCUAGGAAAGCCAAGAGGCUGAUUAAGUUCCGAAGAACAGAAGGAGAUAUAAAUGCAUUUUAGAAAAUCUAUGAUUUUGAAUGAGAGCAAUUGCAUUUAAUCUUUUGAGGAAAA
rnacentral:lncRNA from 1 species